AAUAGUUAAGUAACAAAGGGCGCACGGUGGAUGCCUUGGCACUAGGAGCCGAUGAAGGACGGGACAAACACCGAUAUGUCUCGGGGAGCCGUACGUAGGCAUUGAUCCGGGAAUUUCCGAAUGGGGGAACCCCCUGCUCGUAAUGGAGUAGGACCUAGCACUGAAUACAUAGGUGUUAGGAGGCAGACCUGGGGAACUGAAACAUCUCAGUACCCAGAGGAAGAGAAAGCAAACGCGAUUUCCUGAGUAGCGGCGAGCGAAACGGAAUUAGCCCAAACCAAAAAGCUUGCUUUUUGGGGUUGUAGGACACUCCAUUGGAGUUACCAAGAAACGAAUUAUCUGAAUCGAUCUGGAACGAUCAGCCAAAGAAGGUAAGAGCCCUGUAAGGAAAAGUUCGUUUCCUCCGGAGUGGAUCCUGAGUACGGCGGAACACGAGAAAUUCCGUCGGAAUCCGGGAGGACCAUCUCCCAAGGCUAAAUACUCCCUAGUGACCGAUAGUGAACCAGUACCGUGAGGGAAAGGUGAAAAGCACCCCGGAAGGGGAGUGAAAGAGAUCCUGAAACCGUGUGCCUACAAGUAGUCGAAGCCCGUUUAUGGGUAACGGCGUACCUUUUGUAGAAUGGACCGGCGAGUUACGAUUCUUUGCAAGGUUAAACCGCAUAGGUGGAGCCGCAGCGAAAGCGAGUCUGAAUAGGGCGACAGAGUAAAGGGUCGUAGACCCGAAACCGUGUGAUCUACCCAUGUCCAGGGUGAAGGUCAGGUAACACUGACUGGAGGCCCGAACCCACGCGUGUUGAAAAACGCGGGGAUGAGGUGUGGGUAGGGGUGAAAUGCCAAUCGAACACGGAGAUAGCUGGUUCUCUCCGAAAUAGCUUUAGGGCUAGCCUCAAGGAACGUAUGUUGGAGGUAGAGCACUGAUUGGACUAGGGGCCCCUAUCGGGUUACCGAAUUCAGUCAAACUCCGAAUGCCAAUCAUAUAGCCUUGGGAGUCAGACUAUGGGUGAUAAGGUUCAUAGUCGAAAGGGAAACAGCCCAGACCGUCAGCUAAGGUCCCCAAGUAUACGUUAAGUGGAAAAGGAUGUGGCGUUGCUCAGACAACCAGGAUGUUGGCUUAGAAGCAGCCAUCAUUUAAAGAGUGCGUAAUAGCUCACUGGUCGAGUGACGCUGCGCCGAAAAUAUACCGGGGCUAAACGUAUCACCGAAGCUACGGAUUGUUCUUCGAACAAUGGUAGGAGAGCGUUCUAAGUGCAGAGAAGUCAGACCGUGAGGACUGGUGGAGCGCUUAGAAGUGAGAAUGCCGGUAUGAGUAGCGAAAUAGAAGUGAGAAUCUUCUACACCGAAAGCCUAAGGUUUCCUGAGGAAGGCUCGUCCGCUCAGGGUUAGUCGGGACCUAAGCCGAGGCCGAAAGGCGUAGGCGAUGGCCAACAGGUUGAUAUUCCUGUACCACCUCGUGACCGUUUGAACGACGGGGGGACGCAGAAGGAUAUGGAAAGCGUGCUGCUGGUUAUGCACGCCCAAGCAGUGAGUGUGUCAGAUAGGCAAAUCCGUCUGAUAAGCACAAGCUGUGAUGGGGAGGGAAAUCAAGUACCGAAGUUCCAGAUUUCACACUGCCAAGAAAAGCCUCUAGUGAGGUCACAGGUGCCCGUACCGCAAACCGACACAGGUAGGCGAGAAGAGUAUUCUAAGGUGAGCGGGAGAACUCUCGUUAAGGAACUCGGCAAAAUGACCCCGUAACUUCGGGAGAAGGGGUGCUUCUUGCAUGAGAAGCCGCAGUGAAAAGGCCCAAGCGACUGUUUAGCAAAAACACAGGUCUCUGCGAAGCCGAAAGGCGAAGUAUAGGGGCUGACACCUGCCCGGUGCUGGAAGGUUAAGGGGAUGCGUUAGCUUCGGCGAAGCGUUGAACCGAAGCCCCAGUAAACGGCGGCCGUAACUAUAACGGUCCUAAGGUAGCGAAAUUCCUUGUCGGGUAAGUUCCGACCCGCACGAAAGGUGCAACGACUUGGGCACUGUCUCAACGAGAGACCCGGUGAAAUUAUACGAUGCGUGAAGAUGCGCAUUACCCGCGACAGGACGGAAAGACCCCGUGGAGCUUUACUGUAGCCUGAUAUUGAAUGUUGGCACAGCUUGUACAGGAUAGGUGGGAGCCAUCGAAGCGUGAGCGCUAGCUUACGUGGAGGCGCCCGUGGGAUACCACCCUGGCUGUGUUGACCUUCUAACCCAGGACCGUGAUCCGGUCCGGAGACAGUGUCAGGCGGGCAGUUUGACUGGGGCGGUCGCCUCCUAAAGAGUAACGGAGGCGCCCAAAGGUUCCCUCAGAAUGGUUGGAAAUCAUUCGCAGAGUGUAAAGGCAGAAGGGAGCUUGACUGCGAGACCUACAAGUCGAGCAGGGACGAAAGUCGGGCUUAGUGAUCCGGCGGUACCGCAUGGAAGGGCCGUCGCUCAACGGAUAAAAGCUACCCCGGGGAUAACAGGCUUAUCUCCCCCAAGAGUCCACAUCGACGGGGAGGUUUGGCACCUCGAUGUCGGCUCAUCGCAUCCUGGGGCUGUAGUCGGUCCCAAGGGUUGGGCUGUUCGCCCAUUAAAGCGGUACGCGAGCUGGGUUCAGAACGUCGUGAGACAGUUCGGUCCCUAUCCGUCGUGGGCGUUGGAAGUUUGAGAGGAGCUGUCCUUAGUACGAGAGGACCGGGAUGGACACACCGCUGGUGCACCAGUUGUUCCGCCAGGAGCAUCGCUGGGUAGCUACGUGUGGCAGGGAUAAGUGCUGAAAGCAUCUAAGCAUGAAGCCCCCCUCAAGAUGAGACUUCCCAUCGCAAGAGUAAGAUCCCUCAGAGACGAUGAGGUAGAUAGGUUCGAGGUGGAAGCGUGGUGACACGUGCAGCUGACGAAUACUAAUCGAUCGAGGACUUAACUAAAUAACAAAAGUGGAAACGACCACAACAGUGGGAGUUGAAACUGGAUGA
rnacentral:rRNA from 1 species